CAACAGUGGCCCUUGUGGUGUGAUACUCUUGUGGUAUUUAUUGAUCAUUAUUUUUUAAUGAUCAUGCUUGCACACAAGUUGGAUUAUAUUGCACAUUUGCCCAAGAUUACAGUAGGUAACAUGGAAGAAAAAGGAAGCACUUUGGGGGAAAAAUCCGCUUUUUCCAUUUUUAAGAAUAUAGUGUUAAAAUGGACAAAAUAACAUUUUCUAAGCUGACAACCUGUCUAGAACUCAUGUUGAGGGGUUAAAUAUCAAUACUGGAUAGGUUGUAUGCUUGUACCAAAAAGUGUCCGACAAAGUUUUAAUAUCAGUUUUGGCCCCCUGACUAAUAUAGCAUUUAAUAUGUGUGCAUGUACUGUAUUUGUGUCUGUAACUGUUUAGUUUAUCCCCUCCUUUCAUGUGUCUGUUAUGACUUUGUGGGCUCAACUGUCAACAACUGUCCAGGGCAAAGUCGGUCUACCCUGAUGGCACUACCUGAUGGCACUACCCUGAUGAUGUCUGUUAGCCAUGGCUGCUGCCCUCAACAUGGUGAGCCAUCCAGAAGUCCCAGCCUGGAGCCAGAGGCUGCUAUUGCAAGUCAGAUGGGAGAUGGCCUACAGUAUGUUAGGCAUCAGAAAAGUGGUGUACGCAUGAAGGCAGAGUUGCCGCAGGCAAUUAUGAGAUUAGACACUUGACAUUUACUGCCAAAGGUACCAUCAGAGCACCUCUCCCUACCCUGCAGGAUAUCUAUACCAGAAGAGUACAACAACGGCCCAAAAGUAUUUCAAAAGACAUUUCACGCUCUGACCACGAACUGUUUAAACCACUGAGGUCAAGCAGACGUCUCUGUUCCCACGUGGCAGACUGAGGGAACACCCACAAAACAGACUGGGGAUGAGUUUCUUUACUCCGCAUCCUGUACACACACAACUCCUUAUACUACAUUACAUAGACUUGCCAGUUGCCAUACUGCACUUACACACACUGCGCUUUUAACCCCCUUAUCUGUGUCAAAUCAGAUAAGGUUGUGGUUGUGUUCAAACCAUGUCUACUGUUGUCUGUCAACAUCCACUUCAGUCAUACAUUUGAAAUGUCUUAAAUAAAUAACAAAAGUUAAAAUUG